UACAGAGGGUGCGAGCGUUGUCCGGAAUCACUGGGCGUAAAGGGCGCGUAGGUGGCCUGAUAAGUAGGGGGUGAAAUCUCGAGGCUCAACUUCGAGGCUGCCUCCUAAACUGUCAGGCUUGAGCAGAGUAGAGGCAGGUGGAAUUCCCGGUGUAGCGGUGGAAUGCGUAGAGAUCGGGAAGAACACCCGUGGCGAAGGCGGCUCUCUGGGCCUUACCUGACGCUGAGGAGCGAAAGCGUGGGUAGCGAACAGG
rnacentral:rRNA from 1 species